rnacentral:rRNA from 1 species
GAUGAACGCUGGCAGCAUGCUUAACACAUGCAAGUCUUACGGAAAUGCUCCUUCUUGCCGGGUUGCUCGAGUGGCGAACGGAUUAAUAACUCGUGGAUUAUCUGCCCUGCACUUCGGGAUAAGCCUGGGAAACUGGUUCUAAUACCUGAUAUUACGAUGGUUUGUAUGCCUUUGUGGAAAGUUUUUUGGUGUGGGAUGAGCUCGCGUCCUAUCAGCUUGUUGGUGGGGUAAUGGCCUACCAAGGCGUCGACGGGUAGCCGGCCUGAGAGGGUGUACGGCCACAUUGGGAGAGAGAGACAGCCCAGACACCUACGGGAGGGAGAAGUGGGGAAAAUUGUAGAAUGGGCGGAAGACUGAGGCAGAGAAGCCGUGUGGGGGAGGACGGCCUUCGGGUUGUAAAAUGUGUUCGCUAGGGACGAAGAGCAAGUGACGGUACCUGGAGAAGAAGCACCGGCUAAAUACGUG